rnacentral:lncRNA from 1 species
UAUUUCACAUACAAUUUAAUUUCUAAACAUGGUGGCAUUCUCCGUAAUAAGAUCAGGAAACCAAGGGCAAACCCACAACACGUCAGCUAUAUAUCACUAGGCUAAGUCCCUUACCUCUCCACAACACAACUUCAGCUUUAAGACAGCUAAAACUAAAUACAAAGAAACAGAGAUGGGUUUGGUUACAGAGGAGGUGAGAGCUAAGGCAGAGAUGUACACCGGAGAUGAGAUAUGUAGAGAGAAGACAAAGUGUUUCCUCAAGGAAAUAUCUAUGCCCAAUGGUUUAUUACCAUUGAAGGAUAUAGAAGAGGUUGGGUAUGACAGAGAGUCAGGUGUUGUAUGGCUGAAGCAGAAGAAGAGCAUCACUCACAAGUUCACAGAGAUAGAUAAGCUUGUCUCCUAUGGAACCGAAGUCACAGCCAUUGUUGAGACCGGGAAAAUCAAGAAGCUCACUGGAGUCAAAGCCAAGGAACUUCUUAUUUGGGUCACUAUCAAUGAGAUCUAUACCGAGGAACCCCCUACCAAGAUCACGUUCAAGACACCGACCACACUGUCCAGGACUUUCCCGGUCACAGCUUUUAUAGUCCCAGAAGAACCUGCCAAGGAGGAACCUGCCAAAGAGGAACCUGCCAAGGAGAAGAGCAGCGAAGCCACCGAGGCCAAGGAGGCUGUUGCAAUCAAGGAGGCUGUCGCAGUCAAAGAGGCGGCCUAAUCAGCUCAGCUUCAGCAGAUAAAAGAGACCCGAAUUUUUAAGUGUACUUCAAGAAUUUGAACAAAUCAUGGAGAGUUAGUGUUUCUCACUGCUCUAACUAUCAUGUAUUAUCUACCUACCACUUGUUGCUGCUUGUUUUAC